rnacentral:rRNA from 1 species
UACGUAGGUGGCAAGCGUUGUCCGGAUUUACUGGGCGUAAAGGGCGUGCAGGCGGUCUGUUUAGUCUAGGGUGAAAGCUCCCGGCUCAACUGGGAGAGGUCCUUGGAUACUGGCAGACUUGAGGGAGGCAGAGGAAAGUGGAAUUCCCGGUGUAGUGGUGAUAUGCGUAGAUAUCGGGAGGAACACCAGUGGCGAAGGCGGCUGUCUGGGCCUUACCUGACGCUGAGACGCGAAAGCGUGGGGAGCGAACCGG